GAAAGAAAAGAUAGGGACUAUUUUGUUGAUAAAAAGAAACAAUAAGGAUGUUUUAAUAGAUCUGAGAAAAGAUAGGGACUAUUUCGUUGACAAAAAGAAACAAUAAGGACGUUUUAAUAUAUUUCUAAAAAUAUAGGGAGAGACGAUUUCGUUGACAGAAAGAAACGAUGAUGAGGGACUAUUUCGUUGACUUAAAUAAACAAUAAGGAUGUUUUAAUAGAUGUGAGAAAAGAUAGGGACUAUUUCAUUGAUGGAAAAAAAUAAUAAGGACGUUUUAAUAGAUAUGAAAAAAGAUAAAAAUAUUUUAAUAGAUUUUUGAAAAUGUAAGGACUAACUUGUUAAUAAUUACAAUAUACAAGGACUAAAUAAAUGAUUUUAUUUGAGGGUAAAAUU
rnacentral:lncRNA from 1 species